UUGGGCCUUUAUCGAAGCUAACAUUAUUUCUGUAAAUAUGCUAGUCAAAACAAGGCCGAGACGAAAUGCCCCUAUACGGUCGCGGUCUAGACAACGUGUCUCUAACGUAUCACCAAUGGGGCAUACAAUU